AUUCAGUAUACCCACUGAAAAAGACAUAUAUGUGCUGGAUGACACUGGAACAGAGGUCGAUGAAGAGAUCUUCAGUGACAUUCUGGAGGAAAAAACAGACAUCCUGUGGACGAUUGUCGACACAUUUUCAGUCACUGACUCUCCUGCAUCUUCAUGCACGGACACCUUGUCACUAUCAUCAUGAUAGAGAGUGAGAGAGUGAUACUUUUCUGAUGUCUCCAAAAAGACAGCACAUUGAUGACACCUUUCUGAUGUCUCCAAAAAGACCAUGCAUUGAUGAUGACAGUUCUUCACAGGCCAAAUAGCUUGUCAAGAGAGUUCUGGAACAAAAGCCUGGAGGGGAGAAAAUACUUAAAGAAUAUGCAACUAAAGGAGAGAUGAAGGAUCGAACACGCAGUGAACUUGUCAACAUUGUUGUCGCUGAUAUGUUGGAAAAGUAUGGGUAAGUCAAAUACUCCUGGUACACGAUGCACGAGUACAGAUGAUCAGUAUGUGGUGCCUGUGCAUGUUUUUGUAUAAGAAAUGUGUUAAGUGGUUGCACACUUUUUGUUUUUCAUCUUGGCAAUUAUAUUUGCAAAGAUUGAUUUUACAGGUUUUUUUUUGCACCAUGGCUCCUAACGUAAAACAUGUUUUAUGUCCUUGUAACAAGAGUUGACUGUUCACUUAAUAACAAGACAAGAUACUUGUUAGGAUAUAUUGUAAUAAUUAUUAUUAUAAGAAUAAAGAUGUUAUAUUUUCAAGAAACUCUUGUGUGGACUUGUCAUGGUUUGUUCUCCAUACAUACCUGCCUUCAGUUGUUUUCCACUCAUCACUCCCUUGCUCACCCCAUCUGCCAGCCACACCCACCUCGUCAGUCACUUCAUUCACCUGUUCACUCAGCUGCAGCUCUUCAGCAAUCAAGCCUGGUUAAAAGCUCCACUCUCCUCCACACUCACUGCCAGAUUGUUCUUUGUUCCCAUGAAAGACUUUCCAGCGUUUACUCUUCAUCUGAUCUCCCGGUUCCGACCCUGCCUGCUCCCGACCUACCCGCCUCGUCUCUGCCCUGGUAAUUACUUCAGCCCUUCUGUUUUUGACCACGAUUCUGCCUUGCCUCUUCCUGGUCUUCGUCUGCCUGUUCUCGGGGCUGCUCUGAGUCCUCCACCUCCACUGC